AUGGUCACUUUGGCAACACAUAUACUAAAGUUGGAAGGAUACAAAAAAGAUGAGCAUAGAGCCUGUGCAAGAAUGACACACGCAUCCAUAAAGCAUAAAACAAAAUA
ensembl:snRNA U6 U6 spliceosomal RNA